rnacentral:rRNA from 1 species
GCUUACGGCCAUACCACCCUGAGAACGCCCGAUCUCGUCCGAUCUCGGAAGCUAAGCAGAGUCGGGCCUGGUUAGUACUUGGAUGGGAGACCGCCUGGGAAUACCAGGUGCUGUAAGCU